CUGCGCAAAGCUGUUCUUGUACGAAUUAUUUAAAUUUUUUUCUAGAAGUUUACAGUUAAACAAAUACAAAAACGUGUCUGCGCAAAACAUGUGUGACAUUAUUUGUUUGUUUGUGUUUCAAACGUUUCAGUCAACGUCCUCAGAGUGAAUGUUUCGUCAGUGAGCCUUGCGCUUUCGGACACAAAAGAAAUUGCGAUUGCCAGCUUCGUAAAGAUGAUAAUGGAUAUUCCAAUGGGACUGGUGGAAGCUCUGAAAGAUGCUGCAGAAGCAAUUGAAGCUUUCGUCGUCUCUUUCAUGAGAGGGAUUUUGUAAAUUAAUAUUUUUAUUUUUAUAAUAAAACUAAGGC